CUACGGAGGGUGCAAGCGUUAUCCGGAAUCACUGGGUUUAAAGGGUGCGUAGGCGGCCUGGUAAGUCAGAGGUGAAAUACACGAGCUUAACGGGUGAAUUGCCUUUGAAACUAUCAAGCUAGAAUUAUGUUGAGGUCAGCGGAAUGAGUCAUGUAGCGGUGAAAUGCAUAGAUAUGACUUAGAACACCAAUUGCGUAGGCAGCUGGCUAGGCAUUAAUUGACGCUGAGGCACGAAAGCGUGGGGAGCGAACAGGAUUAGAAACCCUAGUAGUCC
rnacentral:rRNA from 1 species